AGCCGGAGAGGAGGGCGUGGCUUCCGACAUUCCGCGGGGUCUUUACCUCUUGCUCCCGCCAGAGUUUGGGAUCGGUCUCUUCUGUUCCGCGUCCUCCACCUCGGUAGCCCCUGGUGACUCUGUUACAGCCUCUGUUGACCUAUGAUCUGCAGGGAGACGCACAGCCAGGACAUCCUGGAACCUGGGAAAGGGGACUCUUGACGUUUAGGUAUGUGGCCAUAGAAUUCUCUCUGGAGGAGUAGCAGUGCCUGGACACUGCACAGCAGAAUUUAUAGAGGAAUGUUAUGAAAACCUGGCCUUCCUGGGUAUUACUGUCUCUAAGCCAGACCUGAUCACCUAUCUGGAGCGAGAAAAAGAGCCCUGGAAUAUGAAGUGACAUGAGAUGGUGGAUGAACCCCCAGGUAUAUGCCCUCAUUUUGCUUAAGACCUCUGGCCAGAGCAGGGCAUGGAAGAUUCCUUUUAAAAAGUAAUACUGAGAAGACAUGAAAAAUGUGGACAUGAUAAUUUACUGUUGAGAAAUGGCUGUAAAAGUGUGGAUGAGUGUCAGGUGCACAAAGAAGGUUAUAAUGGACUUAACAAGUGUUUCACAACUACUCAGAGCAAAGUAUUUCAAUGUGGUAAAUGUUUGAAAGUCCUUUAUAAAUUUUUAAAUUCAAACAAAAAAUAAGAUAUACUGGAAGAAAACCUUUCAAAUGUCAAAAAUGUGUCAAAUCAUUUUGCAUGCUUUCACACAAAACCCAACAUAAAAGCAUUUAUACUAGAGAGAAGUCCUACAAAUGUAAAAAAUGUGGAAAAACCUUUAAUUGGUCCUCAAUCCUUACUAAUAAUAAGAAAAUUCAUACUGAACAGAAACCUUACAAAUGUGAAGAAUGUGGCAAAGCUUUUAAGCAACACUCAACCCUUACUACACAUAAAAUAAUUUGUGCUGAAGAAAAACUUUACAGAUGUGAAGAAUGUGGCAAAGCAUUUUGCCAGCCCUCAACCCUAACUAGAUAUAAGAG
rnacentral:lncRNA from 1 species